GUUUCCGUGGUGUAGCGGUUAUCACGUGUGCUUCACACGCACAAGGUCCCCGGUUCGAUCCCGGGCGGGAACA
rnacentral:tRNA from 1 species